rnacentral:rRNA from 1 species
GCAUAACGCGAAGAACCUUACCCGGGUUUGAACGUAGGGAGACGGGAGUGGAAACAUUCUUUUCAGCAAUGACUGCCUACGAGGUGCUGCAUGGUUGUCGUCAGCUCGUGCCGUGAGGUGUCGGCUUAAGUGCCAUAACGAGCGCAACCCUUAUUUCCAGUUACUAACAGGUAAUGCUGAGGACUCUGGAGAGACUGCCAGCGUAAGCUGUGAGGAAGGUGGGGAUGACGUCAAAUCAGCACGGCCCUUACAUCCGGGGCGACACACGUGUUACAAUGGUAAGGACAAAGGGCAGCUACCGGGCGACCGGAUGCGAAUCUCUAAACCUUAUCUCAGUUCGGAUCGGAGUCUGCAACUCGACUCCGUGAAGCUGGAUUCGCUAGUAAUCGCGCAUCAGCCAUGGCGCGGUGAAUACGUUCCCGGGUCUUGUACACACCG